UCAAGUCUACCAUUCAUCAGUGCAAAACUUGCGUAUUUGUUUGUUUUGCAACCAAAGCCAUACAUCUAGAGCCAGUAAGUGAUCUCAUCACCAACGCAUUCAUGGCCGCAUUCGCACGUUUCUUUUCCAGGCGCGGAUGUCCCGCCGAUCUCUAUUCGGACAAUGGUACUAAUUUCGUUGGAGCGUCCAAACUUUUAAUUAACAUCAACUGGCACUUUAAUCCUCCAGGAGCUCCACACAUGGGUGGACUCUGGGAAGCAGGAGUGAAAAGUUUAAAGAGCCACUUGAAAAAGGUGUCUCAGAACCAGAAAUUCACUUUCGAAGAACUAGCAACCCUUUUAACCCGAAUCGAAAGUUGCUUGAAUUCUCGUCCUUUAAGCCCAUUAAGUGAAGACCCAACAAAUUUAGAACCUUUAACUCCAGGUCAUUUCUUAGUAGGUACCCCUUUAUUAAUCCCAGCAGAACCCAACUUAGAAGAUGCACAUCUAAGCAUCGCACAAAGAUGGCAAAAACUGAAGAUACUCCAUCAACACUUCUGCAAACGAUGGAAAGAAGAAUAUUUGAAAGAACUCCACAAAAGAUAUAAGUGGAAAUACCCUCAACGCAACAUAGACGUUAACGAUAUGGUAGUUAUACGUCAAGAAACUCUACCCCCAAAUGAGUGGAGACUUGGUCGCAUCGAAAAAACGUAUCUCGAUGCACACAAUAAAGCAAGAGUAGUUGACAUACGUACCUCUCAGGGAACAAUUACCCGCCCAAUAACCAAAAUAGUCACUUUACCAAAUAAUUAAUCUUAUUUCCUUAUAGUGACAUGGCCCCUCAAAGCAGUACGAAGUCCAUUUGCAGCCGCCAAAGCAGCCCCACAUUCACUGUGCGAUCCCUCAGCGUGACUCGUAGCAUCAGCCCACUCUCCGACGAAGGAACCCUGGCAAGACGCCUGCAUCGCUUUAAAGCGACCCUUUCCCCAUUCGAGAGGAGCGUGGAAAUACGAAUCGCACGGCCCGACGUACCAUCAGCCGUUCCUCUAUUAGAGAAGAACGAGGAAGUACCCAUCGCACAGCCCAGCGUACUAUCAGCCGUUCAUCAAAGCGAACGCACAAACACGUCGCCUGUGGAUUGUGUAAAAAAGACCAUAGACUGGUGACGUGUUCAAAAUUCACCACAAUGAACAUUAGCGAAAAGUUUGACGCAGUCAUUAAAUAUAAGUACUGCGUCAAUUGCUUGGCCAGAUCGCAUUCCACCCAAAAGUGCACAAGUAAAAAACGAUGUGCCACGUGCAACGGGGAACACCAUUCAACCCUACAUGGACACCCCAGGCUGUUCUGCAAAGAGCCAAAGAAAGCAGCAAAAAACGAAGAUCGAUUACGUAGACAAGAGGAUCUACCGACGUUACUGGCCAAGCCGACCCUCAUCCCAACAGUCAUGGUCAAAGUUAAACACGAUGGCAAAUGGAACAAAAUACGAGCCAUAAUAAACCCGACCCGAAAGGUGACCAUAAUUGCGUCAGAACUGGUCCAGAGUCUGAGGUUACCGAAAACGUACCUCGACUCGUAUCGUAUAUGUAAAGUCGUAAUCGGUUCAUUAACUGAUUCCGACUGGCACGUCGAAGCUAACUGCCUUUUGACGCAUGAUUUACCGACCCGACCCUAUAAUCGUGACUUAAGUGGCGAAAUUAUUAAGAAGUUCGACCACUUAGUCCUAGCCGACCCUACAUUCUGGAAAGACGACAAAAUUAUGUUGGAACUGGGAGCUGACAUUUACCCAAGAUUGAUGAAACCAGGCUUAUUCAACCCCGACAACGGCACCGUGACCACACAAAACACCGCACUCGGUUGGACUUUAACCGGUGCAUGUGCGAUUUAAACCCCAAACACUGCAAGGCGGCCGGGAUGUUCAUACCAAAUGAACACAUCCCUGCAUUGUCCUCCUAACUCGCCUAAAUACGAAUUAGAGGACAAUGCAAUAAACACCCAACAGCGCCAACAUAACAGCGAUUUACCCAACAAAACAAAAAGACACAAUAAAACGAAUCACCAGAGUGGACGAACACAUACAGGCGCCAAAAUAGUAGCAGCAACAUCAGCAGCAACAUUAGCAGCAACAACAACCACAGCAGCAUCAGCAGUAGUAGCAGCAGAAUCAUUUUCUCAACGCGGGAAAAUCUCAACCACAUUAGGUUACCCAUAAAUUUAUAAUUAGAUUAAGUAUAAUCGUAAUUAGUUUUAUACACUAUCAUACAAUUAUACACAUCCACACAUAAUCACCCAAUUGUACUUAUUAACCCGUACAUAUUAACAUAAGUAUAUGUAUAUUUAUUCGAAUAUACAAACUUGAAUUGUUACCCGAUUUCUAAUAGUUUUUAUUUUAUUUGGCACACCGGCAAAUAUAUCGUCGAUCACCCCGACAAUUGUAGUGAGUACAGACUAAUUAGCCUAAUGUCUCUUAAGAUAUUUCUAAAAGUCAUUCACACCAGAAUAUAUAAGAAAUGUGAAGAGUCAAUGGAUAAGACGCAAUUUGGCUUCAGAGAAGGUCUUGGAACACGCGAGGCAUUGUUCUGUAUACAAGUCUUGGUUCAAAACUGUAAAGAUGUCCAAAAAUAUGUAUUUUUAUGCUUUAUUGAUUAUGAGAAAGCUUUCGACACCAUUAAACACGAUAAACUUAUGGAAAUUCUUUAUUCUAUGGGAAUAGAUGACAAAGAGACUCGUUGCAUAAGAAAUCUGUAUUGGCAACAAAUUGCCCAUGUAAGCAUCAAUGGUGAUAUAACCGAAGAAAUAUCUAUUUCACAAGGUAUAAGACAAGGAUGCAUUCUGUCACCCUUGUUAUUUAACAUAUAUUCGGAAGUAAUAUUUUAAGAAUCGGUAACCAGUAUUGAUCAAGGUGUGAAAGUUAAUGGUAUUUUCAUAAAUAAUAUACGCUAUGCAGAUGACACUACACUUAUGGCCGAUAGCUUGAUGGGAUUACAAGAACUUGUAAACCGAGUUAACUUACGUAGUGACGAAUAUGGCCUACACAUUAACAUAAACAAGACGAAGUACAUGAUUAUUAGUAGGAAAAACAUAUACAAUGACACACACCUCAUGAUUAAUAACAACCCAAUCGAAAGAGUUAAAGAUUUCAAGUACCUUGGUUGUCAUAUCAACGAAAGUUGGGAUUGUUCAAAAGAAAUAAAAUUUCGAAUUGAAUUUGCGCAAACAACUUUUCUCAAAUACAAAAACAUAUUAUGUAGCCAUGACCUCAACAUCACAACCAAAAUACGUUUUUUUAAAAUGUUAUGUUUGGUCAGUGCUUCUCUAUGCGAUGGAAACAUGGACUCUAAAAAUCACAGAUAUGAACACGCUAGAGUCCUUCGAGCUAUGGCUUAUUAGAAGAAUCCUAAAAAUCCCAUGGACAGAUUCGAGUUACAAACAGUGAAGUUUUGAGAAGAGUGAACCGCAAUAGAGAGUUGUUAAGGACUCUAAAACAAAGAAAAGUAGCCUACCUAGGACAUAUUAUGAGGCACUCUAAGUAUGAGUAUAUUAAUAUUAAGCUUAUUAAUAUUGUACAUAUUAUUAAAUGUUAUAUGAUCACCAAUCUUCGAAUACAAAUUGGCAAAUAAAGAAGAAGAAGAACCAUAA